rnacentral:tRNA from 1 species
GGCCUCGUAGCUCAGCUGGUAGAGCGUGCGCCGUACAAAAAUGUAGGCGGCGUUCAUGCGCAAGUUCGAAUCCCACCGGGGCUA